rnacentral:lncRNA from 10 species
ACAGUUACUUUUUUUUUUUAAUAAGUAGAAGGAGUACAGUCUAAAAUAAUAAUACAAAUAGUACAAUAAAUUACAUAAACUAGUAAUGUAAUCACUUAUUAUUAUCACCUAUUACGUACUAUACAUAAUUGCAUGUGCUAUACUUUUAUACAACUGGAAGCACAGUAGGUUUAUUUACAGCAGCGUCACCACAAACACCUGAGUGAUAUGUUGCAUGACAACGUCCACAAGUGAUAGGAAUUUUUCAGCUCCAUUGUAAUCUUAUGGGACCACCAUUGUAUAUGUGUCCAUCAUUGAGUAAAAUGUUAUUACAUGACACAUGACUGUGUUCAUCAGGAAUAUGUAUGCUAGUAUGAACCUAUAAUGAGAGUGUUAAAUUUUAUGAAGCAAAAACUAACAGAACAAAAGAAAUAGAUCCACAAGCAUAAUUGGAAAUCCACAAUUAUAUCUCAGUAAUUGAUAGCACUUGUAGGCAAGAAAUUCAGUAGUAUAUGUAAUCAGCUCUUCAUAUAUGCAGAUUCAACCAAUAGCAAUGCACAAAUAUUCAGAAAAAACACAAUGACAGUAAAAAAAUACAAAUUUUAAAAUACAGUAUAAAAUUAUUUACAUAGCAUUUACAUUGUAUUAAGUAUUAUAAAAAAUCUAGAGAUGGUUUAAAAUAUACAGAAGGUUGUGCAUAGGUUAUAUGCAACUACUACACCAUUUUAUAUAACAAACUUGGGCAUCUGUAGGUUUUGGUAUCCACAAGGUGUCCUGGAACCAGUCCCCUGUGGAUAGCAAGGGACAACUGUAUAGAAGAUAUGAGUUCAUCCUAUAGCUAGUUGUUUAAAAGAGCCUGGCACCUCCUCCCUCUCCCUUUUGUUCCCUCUUGCCAUGUGAUAUGCUAGCUCUCCCUUUGCCUUCUGCCAUAAUUGUAAGCUUCCUGAGGCCUCACCAGAAGCAGAUGCUGGCACUAUGCUUCUUGUACAGCCUAUAGAACCAUAAGCUAAAUAAACCAUUUUUCUUUAUAAAUUACCCAGCCUCAGGUAUUCCUUUAUAGCAACACAAAACAGACUAAUACAUGUGGCAUAUACAUACAAUGUAAUAUUAUUCAGCCUUGGAAGGAAAUUUUGACAUAUGCUACAAUGUGGCUGAACCUUGAGGAUAUUCUAAUAAGCCAAUCACAAAAAGAUAACUACUUAUGAUUCCACUCAUAUGAAGUAUCUAGAGUAGUCCACCUCAUAAAAUCAGAAAGUAUUACUGGUCUCCCACUUUUAGGCUAUUAACGCUUGUAGUGAGAGUUUGUAGGUUUCUUGUCGUGGUUGCCAGGGGCUGGGGGCAGGGGGAAAAGGGUAGUUAUUAUUUCAUGGAUAUAGUUUCACAUUUACAGGAUGAAAAAGUUGUGGAUGUUGGUUGUACAAAAAUGGGAAUAUACUUAAUGCUGCUGAGCUGUAUACUCAAAUAGUUAAGAUGGUAAAUUUUAUGUUACAUGUAUACUUUGCCACCAUUUUUAAAAAUGAGGAAAGGCUUAAACAAGAAUAAUAAACAUGCUAUAUGCUAAACCAAAAGUCAAAAAAAAGAAGUAAAGAUGGGCAUAAAUCGGCUGGGCGCGGUGGCUCACGCCUGUAAUCCCAGCACUGUGGGAGGCUGAGACGGGCAGAUCACGAGGUCAGGAGAUCGAGACCAUCCUGACUAACAUGGUGAAACCCCAUCUCUACUAAAAAUGCAAAAAAUUAGCCAGGAGUUGUGGCAGGCGCCGCCUGUAGUCCCAGCUACUCGGGAGGCUGAGGCAGGAGAAUGGCCUAAAUCCGGGAGGAGGAGCUUGCAGUGAGCCGAGAUCGCGCCACUGCACUCCAGGCUGGGUGACAGAGCGAGACUCCAUCUUAAAAAAAAAAAAAAAAAAAAGAUGAGCAUAAAUCAAUUAAGUAGAAAUAGAAAGCAGACCAUUAAGAAAAUGAACAAAACAACAAGUUUAUGUGAAGGUAUUUUAAAAAUGGAUAAAUCCCUAGUAAGCAUAAUUAAUAAAAUAGAAAACACAAAUUGCCCAUGUCAGGAAUAAAAAUGAAGAUGCCACUACGGAUCCUAUAGACAGUAAAAUGAUAAGGCAAUAUUAUGAACAAUUUUAUGCCAAUAAAUUUGACAUUUUAGAUGAAAUUCAUCCAUUCCUUUAAAAGCACAGCUUCUCAAAACUCUUGACUCAAAAUGAAAUAGAAAAACAGAAAGUCUGUAUCUAAUUGUUUGUUUGUUUGUUUGUUUGGAGACAGGGUCUUGCUUUGUCAGACUGGAGGCUAGUGGCAUGAUCAUGACUCACUACAGCCUCAACCUACCAGUAUCAAGUGAUUCUUCUGUCUCAGCCUCCCAAGUAGCUGGGAGUACAGGUGGGCACCACUAUGGCCAGCUAAUUAAAAAAAAAAUUUAGAGACAGGGUCUCACUUUGUUGUGCAGGCUGGUCUUGAACUCCUGGGCUCAAGAAAUCCUCCCACCUUGGCCUCCCAAAGUGCUGAGAUUUCAGGCAUGUGCCAUGACACCUGGCCUAAAAUUUUAAGUUUUAAUAAAUAAAAAUCCAUACAUACAGAACCAGGUUCAGCUCCACUGAAACCCCUGCAACUCAGCCAAAAGUAAAUGUAACAUGGUUUUGAAUGCUGUCUUAAUCCAGGGCACAUGAAAAACCCUUAAAAACAAAAACAAAAACAAAGCAUACCUCUGCCCCACCGAGAUGAGCUCAAAAACAAACAUUACAAACAACGAGGAAAUAACCAUCACAGGAGGGUCAGCAGAGUAAA